AUUGAACGCUGGCGGCAGGCCUAACACAUGAAAGUCGAGCGGAUGAAGGGAGCUUGCUCCUGGAUUCAGCGGCGGACGGGUGAGUAAUGCCUAGGAAUCUGCCUGGUAGUGGGGGAUAACGUCCGGAAACGGGCGCUAAUACCGCAUACGUCCUGAGGGAGAAAGUGGGGGAUCUUCGGACCUCACGCUAUCAGAUGAGCCUAGGUCGGAUUAGCUAGUUGGUGGGGUAAAGGCCUACCAAGGCGACGAUCCGUAACUGGUCUGAGAGGAUGAUCAGUCACACUGGACCUGAGACCCGGUCCAGACUCCUCCGGGCGGCAGCAGUGGGGAAUAUUGGACGAUGGGCGAACGCCUGAUCCAGCCAUGCCGCGUGUGUGAAGAAGGUCUUCGGAUUGUAAAGCACUUUAAGUUGGGAGGAAGGGCAGUAAGUUAAUACCUUGCUGUUUUGACGUUACCAACAGAAUAAGCACCGGCUAACUUCGUG
rnacentral:rRNA from 1 species